rnacentral:lncRNA from 12 species
CUCAGGCUGCGGAGGGCGGGCGGGCGGGAUAAGCACCAGCCGCGGAGGGCGGGCGGGUCGAGGCUGCCUUGCGUUUGGAGGCUCCGCAAAGGAGGAGAAUGACAAUUUAAACAAUCCCAAGCCUCUGGCAGCGCCCCCCCCACCCCCCACCCCCGCCAGGUUGCGGUAACGGCUCCUAGUAAAUGGCUUUGCUCUUGCUCCUUUGCUCUGCUUCCCGUAAUACCCUGAAUCCUUCAGGAAGCAGUCGUCUCCCCACUUUACAGACAAGAAAACUGAGGUCCAGAGCCCAGAAGCGUGUGGCGGUUCCUGCUUCCAGCCGGUGGCUUCCACUCUCCACUUCCUUUGGGAAUCGCAGCAGGGUUGGCGAGAGCUGGCGAACAAUUUAGAAAGUCACUGUAAAAACACAGCCCUCCGGCAAGGAAGCUUUUCCGGGUUGCAAACCCUUCUUCUAAACCUUCUAAAAAAGCCAGUAACCAGCGCCCUCCCCGAGUCCUCACACUUAGCACAGUCCUUCCUCCGUGUGUCCUGGACACCUUGGGGUCCCCCACUUCAGGCACAGCUGGCUGUGAAGGGCCUUUGUCGAUGUGAACGUGCAGCAGCAGCAGCAGCAGCCUGGGGGUUAGGACCCUGUCCCUCCACGCGGGGGGCUUCGACCUGACCGCCAGGGGCCUUAACUGUA